GGAGAGUGACAGGAAGUGACAUUGAGAAAACUGCUUUGAAAAGGCCAGCUCGAGGAUUCAGUCUCUGACUCUGCCUCAGUGAGCCAGACUGGAGGAGGAGACUCUUUCCUUGGAUCCUGUGGUGGUGAGUGGAGUUAUUCCUUCCUUGGUUCUUCGGUGAGAAGACCCUCUCUGAUCGUUGGCACUUCAGUGGGACACUCCCUUCAGCAUGAGUUCUGGUGAGAUUCUUGGCGGUCUUAGCCUCCUGUGCACUGAAGGUUCUUGGUGCAUUCUUCAGCAUCUGCUGGUUCUUCUGGACUUCAGCUUCCUAAUUAGGACUUUGGAUUCUGUCCUAGGACCCUGCUUGGUACUCAUACUGCCAGAAUAUAUUCAGUGGCCUGAAACUCUACUUGACCUCCUAGUAUGUGGACUGCAAGAAGCAAACCCAGUGCUCACAGAUCUUGCUCUGCCAAGGCUCUGUCAAGUCUUGGUUCUGGUUGUGUGA
rnacentral:lncRNA from 1 species